rnacentral:rRNA from 1 species
CCUACGGGGUGCAGCAGUGGGGGAUAUUGCACAAUGGGGGGAACCCUGAUGCAGCGACGCCGCGUGGGUGAAGGAGCGUUUCGGCGCGUAAAGCCCUAUCGGCAGGGAAGAAGCAAGACGGUACCUGACUAAGAAGCCCCGGCUAACUACGUGCCAGCAGCCGCGGUAAUACGGAGGGGGCGAGCGUUAUCCGGAUUCACGGGGUGUAAAGGGAGCGUAGACGGCCAUGCAAGCCAGGGGUGAAAGCCCGGGGCCCAACCCCGGGAGUGCCGUUGAAACUGCAUGGCUGGAGUGCGGGAGGGGCAGGCGGAAUUCCUGGUGUAGCGGUGAAAUGCGUAGAUAUCAGGAGGAACGCCGGCGGCGAAGGCGGCCUGCUGGACCGCGACUGACGUUGAGGCUCGAAAGCGUGGGGAGCGAACAGGAUUAGAUACCCGGGUAGUC